rnacentral:lncRNA from 1 species
UCUCUCGUGCUCUGCACACAAUUAUUUCUCUCGGAUUCUCUUUCCUUCGUUGCCUCUCCGAGGAAGAGGUAAAGAAAACCUCUUUCCUCUCCAGCAAACACUUCCAAAAUUUGAAUCUCUUUCUUCCUCUCAAAUUUAACUACUUCACGCUUGUUGCUUCUUUGACGUUCGUCAAGCAGCCAUUCCCUCGCCGUAGCCGACGAAGCACAUUAUCGCGCGCCCGAAAAGGAGUGAAGCAGAGGAGGGUUCUCGAAGUUCUUCAAGAGCAAGUACGAGCUUGGGGACGAACUUGGAAAAGGGCCUUGAAGAAGAGAGAAGUUUGGAGUAUUGGCAAGGCAACUCGUUUGGCUUCUUUCUCUGUUCAUCGCCGAUUGCCACCGCCAGUUCUUGUGCAAUUUUACUGCUCAAGAAUGGUUAGCUGACGUUUACGAAUGGUGAUAGUUAAGGGCCAAAAUUUGAAAUCCACUGUAAUCGAAGGCGGCGGCUCCCAAGGAGAAGGUUGUUAAGCAACUGUGAAGCCGAAAGCUGCGGUGGGUGUGAAGCCUAGAAGCCGAAGUUGAAGCCCGCGGCAAAAGCAGUGAAGACUUCUGCAAAGGCGAUGCCCAGGAAGAAAGCUAUGAAGAAGGUUGCCGCCGCGAAGGUUAAGAAGAAACCGGUGAAGAAGCCGAAGAGCGUGAAGCUGCUGAAGAAGGCCAAGAAUGGGGACGGGAUUUUAGACGAUGAUUUGGUUGUGUAUAGAAAAUGGUUUGGCAACAUUUGACAUAGCCUUUUUCUUUUUUUCUUUUUCUCUUGGUUUUUAAAUCGUGCUAAAUCUAUUCUUGUUAGCGCAAGUUUCUAUGUAAGCUUCUAGGGGAGAUUUUAUUAGAUGGUUGUGUUUGAUAAUGGGGAAUCGAAAAGCUGUGAGUCGUGUGGUGCUCCAAUGGUGGUUUCUUCCUUUGGGUCUGGCCUUCUUCUCCUUUCUCGCCACACGCUAACCAUACUUUUAUUCUUGGCGAUGUCAAAUGAAU